GGAGGCAGCAGUGGGGAAUUUUCCGCAAUGGGCGAAAGCCUGACGGAGCAAGACCGCGUGGGGGAAGAAGGCUCUUGGGUUGUAAACCCCUUUUCUCUGGGAAGAAAGUUGUGAAAGCAACCUGACGGUACCAGAGGAAUCAGCAUCGGCUAACUCCGUGCCAGCAGCCGCGGUAAGACGGAGGAUGCAAGCGUUAUCCGGAAUGAUUGGGCGUAAAGCGUCCGCAGGUGGCAGUUCAAGUCUGCUGUCAAAGACCGGGGCUUAACUUCGGAAAGGCAGUGGAAACUGAACAGCUAGAGUAUGGUAGGGGCAAAGGGAAUUCCUGGUGUAGCGGUGAAAUGCGUAGAGAUCAGGAAGAACAUCGGUGGCGAAGGCGCUUUGCUGGACCAUAACUGACACUCAGGGACGAAAGCUAGGGGAGCGAAUGGGAUUAGAUACCCCAGUAGUCCUAGCCGUAAACGAUGGAUACUAGGUGUUGUCUGUAUCGACC
rnacentral:rRNA from 2 species